GACGAACGCUGGCGGCGUGCUUAACACAUGCAAGUCGAACGGAAAGGCCCUGCUUUUGUGGGGUGCUCGAGUGGCGAACGGGUGAGUAACACGUGAGUAACCUGCCCUUGACUUUGGGAUAACUUCAGGAAACUGGGGCUAAUACCGGAUAGGAGCUCCUGCUGCAUGGUGGGGGUUGGAAAGUUUCGGCGGUUGGGGAUGGACUCGCGGCUUAUCAGCUUGUUGGUGGGGUAGUGGCUUACCAAGGCUUUGACGGGUAGCCGGCCUGAGAGGGUGACCGGCCACAUUGCGACUGAGAUACGGACCAGACUCCUACGUGAGGCAGCAGUGGGGAAUAUUGCACAAUGGGAGGAAGCCUGAUGCAGCGACGCCGCGUGCGGGAUGACGGCCUUCGGGUUGUAAACCGCUUUCGCCUGUGACGAAGCGUGAGUGACGGUAAUGGGUAAAGAAGCACCGGCUAACUACGUG
rnacentral:rRNA from 1 species